rnacentral:rRNA from 1 species
GACGAACGCUGGCGGCGUGCUUAACACAUGCAAGUCGAACGGUGACACGAGAGCUUGCUCUCGUUGAUCAGUGGCGAACGGGUGAGUAACACGUGAGCAACCUACCCUUGACUCCGGGAUAACAGUUGGAAACAGCCGCUAUUACCAGAUACGAACUCAGCAGGCAUCUGCCGAGUUGGAAAGCUCCGACGGUCAAGGAUGGGCUCGCGGCCUAGCAGCUUGUUGGUGAGGUAACGGCUCACCAAGGCGACGACGGGUAGCCGGCCUGAGAGGGCGACCGGCCACACUGGGACUGAGAUACGGCCCAGACUCCUACGGGAGGCAGCAGUAGGGAAUAUUGCGCAAUGGGCGAAAGCCUGACGCAGCAACGCCGCGUGCGGGUUGACGGCCUUCGGGUUGUAAACCGCUUUCAGCAGGGACGAAACUGACGGUACCUGCAGAAGAAGCACCGGCUAACUACGUGCCAGCAGCCGCAGUAA